CACUGCGUAGUUGGGAAAAGUGGGGAAUGGUGACGCAGUCACUGUUGCAUCUGGUUAGGAGCUCUAUGGGGACAGGUAGUGAGGUUCCUGGGGUCUCUGUGGCCAGCUGAGAGGGGUUAAGGAUGAGCUAAGAAGGGAAGCUAGCAUUUAGAGAUUAAAUGUCAUCCUUUUGGCGUUGGAAAGUUGUUUACCUUGCGCUCUCUGUGUCUCCAUGUUGGCUCCCUUCCAGUUCACAUGUGAUGGCCUUCCCUGUACUGCUGCAUCAUUAACUAAGUGACUGAGCUGGCCUUCCAUUGGCCAGGGGAGGGCUCUCCCUCCAGACACUUCCUCUGAUUGGUGGGUGGGCCAAUGGCAGGUGAAAAGCUUUUUUUGAUUGGCUCAGGGCAGGGUAUCAAAUCUGAAUUUGCAUUUCACUUGCUUAAAGGGGAGCGGGGAGAAGCCCAGCAGCUUUCUAAAAUCUCUUUAGGGGUGUGCGUAGGCUCCUGUGUCUAUGUCUGCUUUUGACUGCCCAGUUGAAGCCUCUUCCUAUGCCUUUUAAAAUUUCACGCACUAUAAGGAGGAAGAGCUCAGGGCUCCCAAAACUUUUUAUUUAGAGGGAAGAAUGCUAGGGAGAUGGGUAUGCAGAGGGUUGACCAAACUGGAAGAAAAUAUUUAUUCUGUAGUUUGGUGUUGGAAAAGGGAAUUUUCCAAUCAGCCACACCUCAGUGUUGCGGCAAAAUAAUUCUUGGCUCCCCUGGAAACGCAUGGGCAAGGUAGGGCAGAGCUGCUGCUGCUGAUACUGCCACCACCCUGGGCUUCCUGCUGACUCUGGGCUACUCCCUGGGGACAACAGAUUUGCAUUGACGUCCGGGGCUGUCCAGAGGCCCUCAAGAGCCAGUCGUGAGCUGAGCCCAGUAUGGGAAAGAUCUACCUUCUGGAAGCUACUACUACGUGGUGCUUGGAAAGAGGACUCAGAAGAGUGCAGCUUGCUCUGUGAGUGGGUGACAACCUCUUGGCGACUCAGGCUCAGCUGAGGAUGGUGCCAGUGUGCCGGAGACAGCCGUCAUACUGCCGGAUAGAGUGGCUCACUUGCAUGUAUUUGGAACAAAAAAAGGAGAUGCCUGGCAGCCCCACUCUCUGCAGUAAGUAUUCAUCUGCAUUCUUUUACAUUCCUUUAUUUCUUCGAACAUCAGAAAUGGAUAGAUGUUUAUUGAGCCCAGCCACCUGCUAUGCCUUCUCCAUUCUUCUCCCACACACCCCGCCCUUCGUCCUCCAGAAGAGAGGACUAGAUUGAUUUUCUCAUGCUACUGGAUAGCUGCAGAGAAGCUAGAAUUUGCUGUUCAGCCCCCACACAUCCCCCUCACAUUUGGGAGAAGUUGAUUUUCCCUAAAACGGAGCCAACAGCCUGUGUCCCUCAGUGCGGAGUGUUAAUGGGCUGCCUGGAAGGACCCUGUGUGCCCUCACGGCCCCCAGCCGGGAAGUGAGGCUCCCCAUUGGCUGGCAGCGGGAGGAUGGUCCUUGCCAGCACCUAGCAUGGUUCUCUGCCAAGUUCUAGCUCCACAUCUCCAGGCUGGUAGGAACCUAGACUAUAUAUAGCAUUGUGCUAAGCAAUUCUUAUCAGACGUGUCUGCCCUCCCCUGUGGGAGUGGAGCACUUCUAUCAGAGAACCAGAACCUAGAGAGCGUGAGCCAUCUCCAAGGGCCUUUUAUUCUGGGAAGGGGUGUGUGUGUGUGUGUGUGUGUGUGUGUGUGUGUGUGUGUGUCUGUCUGUCUGGUUCAGGGCUGCUUACUUUCCUCCUGUAUUGCAGAUGCUGAUAGAUUGAAAGGUCAUGCUAGAUGAAGGUGCUGAUGUGGGAUGAGGGCCAGGAGGGGCUGAUAACUCUCUGAUGGAUAUUGAGCUUAGAGGGAGAGAAGCUAGGGGCAUGUGACAUGGCUGAAGGUACAGUUGAGCCCUGCCUCCGCUUUCUCUUCCUGGUUUCCUGUUUGCCAUGCUUUGCCUAAGGAUGUCUUUUGACCUCUCUCUUCCUUCUUUCGGACCUCUUGCAUUCCCUGCCUUCCUCCACCACUUCCUCCUACCUUUGAUUUUCUUUAGGAUAUAUGAGGGCAAACACAGUGACUGGCAUCCUGGGUCUGUGUCUACUCUUCAUCCUUACCCAUUUGGGGUUUCUGGAGAUCUGGCUCCAGUUAGGCAGAGAGGGCUCAGCUGUCCUCUGGAGGAGUUUUGGUGGUGGGUGAGCAUGUUGAGUUGUCUGGUUCAGGGCAGGGUGGGUUGGAUAUUCCCCUCUUUCCUCUCAUAGGUGCUGUUGAGCCACCAAUUUUUGUGGUUUUGUGACCACAAGUGCUGACUGAUGCGACAUGACUCCAGUCUUGUCAGUGAAUCAUCAUCAGGCUGCUUACUGGAAACUGGAUGCAGCAAGGAAAUAGGAUUUAACCGCUCUCUGCCUCCCAGGUAAGUCCAGCAUAGGCUGCUCCCUCCAGCCUUCCCCCCAUCCUCCUUCCUUCCCAUGAACACCAUUUUCCUUAUUCCACCAGGGAAUCCUCAGACGUCUCUAUUCAGAAUCUCCCAAACAAUUGUUCUCUUUUUUGCAUUCUUCUCCUUCUGGCUUUUCUGUGAAUGGGGUUAGCAACCAGCACAGGGUUGGGGGCAGGAUGGGCAGCUGAAGUGGUCGGGCUGUGCGGACGUGUGGGAGAUAGCUGGGUAGUGUUGCUGGGUGUGGCAGUUGGCAGAGCAUUUGGGCCUCCCACAGUAAUAGAAACUCUCUUUGGCUCCAGCAUCCAGCAAGAGGUUCUGGGUUUAACUCCUCGGUAAUCCUUGGAGCCUUCCUGGUGCCUGGGGAUUCUCUCCCCUGUGUAGUCUCAGUGGAUAGCCUGUCUUAACUCUAGGUACAUUUUGCCUUGAGGGGGCUUAGUCUAGGAUGGUGGUCUGGAGUUUGGACUGGACUGAGCAGUGAACUUUGGGACUCUCCCUAAUUUUGGGGUUUCUUUGAAUGAGCCACUUUCUUCCUCUAGGCCUUCAUUGCCUUAAAAAAAAAAAAAUCCCCGGUCCAGUAAGCCAUUGCAAAGCAUCUCUAGGAAGUUGACAAAGAAAUGCUUUUUUUCUGCCUCACUUGUUGCCAAUCACAGUAAUGGCAAUGGUGAUUAAAAAUGAAAAAUGAUGAUGGCCUGCAGAAUCGGGGAGGUCAGUGGCAUCAUUGAUACGAUUCACAAAGCAGACUCUCGGUGCCCGCACAUCACUAGGAAAUCUCUCUCCUAUCGAGUAGAUGACUACAGCAUUCUUGGCCAGUAAAGCCAGUUGGAAUUAGCCAACAGCAGAUUGGUCUGGGCUCUAAAGAUAAAAGGAAUUAUGCUGGGUAAUUUUUGGAGGUACCUAUGGGAUCCUACCUCUGGCCACACAGUGGUCACCUCUUUCUGCUCAUAUGUUUCGGUGGGGAUGGGGGGUUCCUCUUCCCCAUGCUGUUCCCGUUGCUAUCCAGGGAAGACUGGCCAAUUCUGCUUCCUGUUAUUUCUUCUUCUCCUCUAUCCGUUUGAGAUGAGUCUCUAGGUUGGCUGUGAACAGCCUGAGGAAUCCAGGGCUGUUUGGAAGAAUCUGGUGUCUCUUCCUUCAAGGACCCUGACAGGUCUCAGCCCUCCAGCAGUACUACAGUGAGGGAUGGCAGGGGGUGUUGGAGUGGAGAGAUAUCGACUUGGGUGCAGCUGGGGAGACUUAAGAGGAGCGAGCCAAGUCCCUCAAGAAGUGUUGGCUAGAGUCUCGCCAGCCCUGGCUGUAGGGCUGGAGCCAGACAUAGCUGCUGGCUGUGCUUGGGAGUCUCAGCCCUCAUAUGUGCCGUGCAUCCCUGGGCAUAGCUCUUUGUGACCCCAUUCCCACGAAUAGCCCUGUCCUUGGUUAGAUUGGGAAAACCAGAGUGGGAAGUAAAGGGGAGGUUGGUUUUGCUCCUGGUCAUGCAGUUAUCUCUGUGGCCUCUGAUGUUUCCAGAAUUGGGAUUGGUGCUUCCCUGCUGAUUUUCCUAUUUUUGUCCCUCAUCUGGUUCUUUUCCUCCUUGCUCACCAGUCUGGGUUCUACACACAUGACAUGGGGCAUUGUGUGUUCCCAAUGAGGAUAGCAGAACAGUUGGUAUCUCCUGAGAGAGGGGCCAGCGUAUCUGGCACUUUUUUCUUGAACCUUUGAAUUUCUGAGGUCUGGGAAUCAGGAGGCAGCAUGGGGACUCUCCAUCCAGGAUCCAGCAGAGGUUAACAGAGCUGGUGGCUCUGGAGCUGAGGUGGUGUGGCUUGGCUGGGAGUUGUGGGGGAGAGGCCCUGCCAGGGGCCCUGAUUGGUCAGUACCUUCUCUAUUCCAUUGAAUCCUGGUCCAGUCAGCUCUGUGAAUUGUUUAAUGCAUAUCUUGGCUCUGUCCCCUGGCUCGAGUGUCCCUAAGGCUGCAGCCACAGCUUUAGAGAAGAUCUGUACCUUGUGCUGGUCACUUUUUUGGGCGUGUUACCUCCCUCUGAGAUAUGUAAGAGAUACCACCCUUUCCCACCAGCCUGCUGUCUGUGGGAGGCCCUCAUUUUGCUUUGCUUUUCUGAGACUUGGAGUGGCUGUGAGGAAAGCAUGGACUGAGUUUGCUGUCUUGCUGGCUCCUUCCACAAGAGCUGCUCAUGGGCUGAUAAAGCCAGAGAACACCUCCAGGGCCCCAUGGCCUGUGCGGAGCCUGGUACCAUAGUGUAUGUCAAGACUGUGGGGAUGGACUGGGGACAUGGGGGCAGAUAGAGCCACGUGGGGAGGUGGUAUGUGUGGUUAGAUCACAGGAGCAAGUCCAGGAGGGUGUGGGAGGACAAGUCCAGUGCUCAGUCAGGGCUGCCUGUCAUGGCCCAGGAUGGAUGUGUGCAUCUCCUGUGAAGGAUUAGCAUCUGAGUGCCUGGUACUGAAGGUAGGAUGGUGCCCCGAUCAGAGUCUAUAAUGAGGCAUGAAGGUAUGAGAUGGGCAUCAGAGUUGUUGGUCCAAGGGAAACUGACCUUUUUUAAGGGCCCUCCUCUCCUUAUCUGAUUUCAUCCUCAGAACAACCAUAUGACAUAGGGGUCACUUCCGUUUUAUAGUUAAAGAAACAGAUUAAGCGACUUAACCCAAGAUUUUGGUAAGUGAGGUUGUUGAGAUUUAAAUGCAUGCACUUCUUAUUCCAAAGCCUCUACGUUAUCUUUACUCUUUUGGGCUGAAGUCAGACAUUUUUGUGAACUAAGAUUCUCAGAGGACUGAUGUGAACCAGAGUGAAAAGGCAGACACCCAAAGGAACUUUCCAGUCACUGGGGACAGUUGUGCCGCAUUCCUUUUGGGGGAGGCAGGGCAGACGCAAAUGCCCUUUGGUAGCCAUGGACAGGCAGAGCUGAGUAAGGCCAGUACAUGGCAUCUGCUGCUGUGUACGGAGCCUCUGCUGUAUGCCAGGGACUGUGCCAGGCGCUAGAGAUACAGAACUCAACAAAGCCAACUCUCCACUUUCAUGGGGCAUACAUUCUAGUGUGGAGAGACACCACUAAUAAUGAUUUUUAAAAAUAAUUCAAAAAUAUACAGGAUAGACAUAUAUGGAGAUUGUGUGGGGAUGAAAAGGGGGACCCCCCACACACAUAAGGAGGAGAAUCCAGAUGAUGGCCAGAGGGAUCUAGAGACUUAGGACCUCAGCCACCUGAAGCCACAUCAAUUGAGCUUUCCUUCAUGGAGUUAGGACUGACACAAACUAACCCCCUCUUUUUUCCUAAUAACUUGGGAAAUCCAUCCAAGGCCCCCAUAGCUUACAGGAACUUGUCGUGAGUCAGGGAUCAAGGUGGAGUAGAUGUCAAGCCUUUGGUCUCCAGCAAACCAGUUCUCUCCUGUCUGCCACAGUUGCCGUUGGCCUUCUGCCUCACACCCUCCCAAGCACCAGCUGACUUCUUUCCUCAGCCUGGUCACUGUGCCCCAUACUUGUCCAUGCAGCACAGGGAAACGUGCAGGUUAGGUCUUUGCCGAGCCACUGGUCGAAUGUUUCUGCAGAAGGCUGGUUCUGAACUCAGCCUGUCCUGCCAGAACGAGCCGUUCCCAGAGCUAAUCGUCUCACGAUAGGGAAGUGAUGGGCACCAGGCAUAGAGAAGUGACCUGUGCCAGAUGCUUGGUUGAGCUGUGUCUUGAGAGGCAGAGGCAGGUUGGUGGUGCUGGGGACAAGGCAGGCAUGUGUCAUGUGUUCAGCGCAUGUAGCUCCAGGGCUCAGGACUUGUUUACUUGGUGGAAGAGGCAGCGGACCUGCGGAGUCAGGCCAUGUGAUUCUUCGCUCCUUGGCUGAUCAUGGACAGCUGACCCGCCGGACUGCACACACUGCCAUCUGCUGCCAGGGGUCUGAAGUUGCACAGGGAUGAGAUAGUGUAGUUGGGGGUGGUCAGGGAGGAGGAGGGUCAGGAAAGUGGGGUUUGUGUUGCUCUGUCUUGAGGAGUCAGCCGACCUCGAUUCUGGUCCUAGCUCUUGUUGGUAAAAACUCACUCACUUUCCUCCUUUCAGCUCCAGUUUCAUUAUCUAUGAAAUGAGGGGAUGGAACCAGAAUCUCUUUGGAGGUUCCAGCUCUAUCCUGGGGCCUCCCUGAAUGUUCAUGGAGAUGUUCCUCAGCCAAUAAUUCAAGGUGAGGAAAACUAGGCCCAGGUUUCCACAACAGAAGGGGAGGGAUCCUGAUGACCUGUCUCAGAGCAGCUGAAGAGGUACUGUCAGAAUUAGGGUGGGUGGGUGGGAGGAGGUAGUUUUUAAAGAGCCUCCCAGAAGUGGAAGCAGAGGACUGGAGGUUUCGCGAAGGUUUUGAUGAGGAUCCACCAGGUGGUAGGGGACAUGGCUACGGGCUUCCCCCAGGAGGCUUGUUGGAGAUGGGGUUAUGUGGGAGCUGCUGGGGGGGCCUGCUGUCCUGCAAGGGGCUGACCCAAGGGACCCUGCUCUAGGAAAGAUGCUCCGUCCUGUCUGGCCCUAAACCCUGGAGAGAGAAUGCAGCUGUGGAUUGAGGGAGAGUCUGUGACCCUUGCUGUCAGGAAGUUUUCCUUUAUAUUUAGCCUUCUCUUUUCAUGUGUUUUUUGAGGCCCUCGACUAAAAAAUUAAAUUUUAAAAAAUAACAAUGAAAAAAUAAAAAAUAAACAAAAAUAUCUCAGAGCCACUGGUUCCAUUUUGGCUUUGUAGUCUUGAGUCACUCUUAAAAAGAUAGCAAAAUAAAACACAUGCAGGAAAGCCGAAGGUCCCAGGCCCAGCCAGACGGGGGCUAGGAGUGGCUGGGACUCUGGCCUAGCCUCUCCAUGGCAGCGUUAGUCCCAGACAUACACCACUUCUGCAAGGCUGUGUGGGUAGGAGGCCCUGGGGCUGAGGGGGCACAUUGUGCAAUCUGCUAAGCAGAAUGUAGAGUUUUAAAAUAGCUACAUUUCUCCAAGACACUAUCUGCUUGCCGCUUUGUGGGGUGUUUACCUGGGAUUAAUAAUAGCUGAGUGCCACCCCACUGCCAGUAUGGAAUAGCAAACAACAAUCUGGGCUAGGACUCAGGCAGGAGAGGAAUGGAGUAAUAACCAUCGUAUCAGGUCACAUAGUUCUUUUCACACUUGCUGGCUCAUUUGGUCCUCACACAACCCUGAAAGGGUAGGUGGUCUUAUCCUUGUCGUUGGUAAAACUGAACCAGAGAGUCAGUCCUGCCAAAAUCUGACUGCUUAUAGCUGCUUCUCGUGGGUCUCCCAUCCAGGUCCUCUGACUUCAGCUGUCGUUUCUCUGGGUUCUGACUAGUGGGGCGGGGACAGAAGUAGGGGAGUGGAGUCUUUGGCAGUUUCCUUAAUUUCUGAAGGCCUUAGAGGGCCUAGAGAUGCCUUUUCUAUGUGUUGAAUGGGCAACAAAACCUCAGCAUGUCCAGGUUCUCCAACUCUCUGAUGCUUCAGACUUCUUGGAGCUCUUCUGAGAACUGGCUUGCACUUCUUGGCUGGGAAGCCAGCCACUCACCAUGUGUUCUUGGAGCGGUUUCCUGCAUUUGGAAGCUUCUGGAAUAUGUGAUGCAUCAAACCACUGUGACACAUCUGUAUGGCACCUCACGCGUAUGCACACAGGCAUGCUUCUGCUGAGUGCAGCUCACUUAGAGAUGAGGCCCAGUGUAGGGUCUUUGAAAUUUUUCCAACACAUUUGUAAGAGAUGCCCUGAGCCUUGCCCAGCAUGCAUGUUGUGUGUAUGGUGCCUGUUUGCUGGCUAAUGUACAGCGCCUGCUGGAAGCCUUGGCUAAUGUACAAUGUAAAGUAAGGGACUAGAAACACUGGCUUUAGCUCUGAGUGUCUGCUUCAUGAUUGACUUGAAAAAGUAGGGCUUACCCACAGAGAGAAAGGUGGGUAAGAGAACUCGUGGGUGUCAGUUUUCCUUAAAGGCAGAGCAUAACCCCCCACUCUUUAUAAGGGCUGCUAAGGUGGAGUAUUGGACAGCAGGACUUCUUGGCCAGUUAGCCCUCUUGAGUGACCUUUGUUUAAAUAGACCCAGAACUUGUAUGAAGGAGGAAAUAAUGGUUUAUCUUUAUUUACAGCGGAUUUAGCCACAAUGGUUUAGGCUUUUUCUGGGGGGUAUUCCUUUAGGACAAUUGAGGUUGGACAGGGGCAGCAUGCAUAUGUGUCUCUAAAUGUCUGUCGUUUGGUAUUUCCUGAAUGCAUCCUUGGCUCAUACAGAAACCCUGUGAUGGGGAAUCCACAGCGGAGUUGUUUUCGUGGAUGAAGCCUUCUGUAGCUUCAUGUGUGAAGAUUUGUCAUGUUGGAUCCAGUUCAUUCUGUCCACUUGAAGGAUGGAAAAGAGAGUGGGCAGAACUUGCAGCAAGGAGAGUGAUUUGGGCUAGACUUCUGGGAGAACUGUGCAUCGCCUCUGCUGAGGGUUUCUGAGGAAAGAUGAAGCCUCUUUAUUUGAGGUAGGAGACUAGGUGUCCUCCACAGGAUCCUCCCAGUCCCAAGUCUGUGGCACUUUUUGAGACAGUCCCUGGAACAGCAUGAGGUUUGGGUGCCAGGAUCUAGAGCAGGCAUUUCUCUCCAUCUUUCCCAUCUGCCUUCAAGACAGGCCCAAGCUGGAUGCAAUUGAGGGGAUGCAUGGGCAGGGUACACCAACGUGGGCGUCGAACCUGGAACUUUGACCUUGUCUCCCUUUACAGAGAGAACUUCUGGCACUGAUCUUAUAGGAACUGGUGUUAUUUGCAUAUAAAAUAAGAGAAAGGCAUGUUGUCCCUCAUCUUUUCCAGGAAAGAGCCCUGAGCUGCUCUAAUCCUAUGGUGGGGAGGGAGGAGGGCCGUGUAGAGGAUGCAGGGCCAGACAUGGUUUGCUGGGAAGAAGGUAGGAGGUGGGAGAGGAACAUCCCAGGGCAGGCCCACAACUCUGGGAGCCACAGACAUUGCCUGCUGUGCUAAAGGCAAAGGCAUGUGUUCAAAUGGGCCUACUAUUUAGAGGUAACCCACAGUCUGAAAUAAAUCAGUUAAUGGCUAAAUGAGAGUUGUAUUAAAUAUGGAAAAUCAUAUUUUUUGUGUGUCAUCACCACCUACAGAUUUAGCAUCAACAGGCCUGAAAGGCUGAGGACACUGAAAUGGGCCCUGUCCAUAAGAUCAUGCUUAUUUUAUAAUGACUUUUUGUCUCUUUUCGUUCCUUUUUCCCACUCUUUCUUAUUCCUUAGGUCUACGUGAAUAUUUACUUAUGCAGUUGUGUUAUUUCCUUGGGGUACGGUUCUUCCAGUGUCAUUGGCAUCAAUGAAUAUGUGACUUUGAUUUCAAGUGUAAACAAACCACUGGUUCAGGGCAGGCACGAGCCGUCUCUGAGACAAGGACUCCAGCAGCUGCCUACAGAUGCCCUUCCCCCAAUAGCCCUGGACUGUUUCGGCCAGACGCCUGAGACGAGAGUCAAGGGUGUUCUUGCAGAGACCUGCUCAACCCCAUGUCAUGUGUCCUGCCUGGAGGGUGGUGCUCAUACAUGCAUCUUCCAGCGUUAUUAGCUGAUACUGCUUUUCAGCUUGACCCGAGGAGUGGUAUUAGAAGUUUGAGACCGUACAUCCCUUGCUAGGUGAGAAGGGGGUCAGAGAGGACAGGCACAGACGGAAGAAGGGGAACGCAGGCUCUGGCCACUAGCCUCUCUCAAGACAGGUGAACUUUGUGUUAAGCGAACUCAUUUAAUCUUUUGGGCCUAAUAGAAGUUAUUUGUAUUUUCUCUCCUUCUCUCUUUUCCCUCCUCUCUCUCACUCACCCUCCCCCCACUCCCCAGCCUCCAAAGAAUUUAAUCUGCUGGACAACAAACAAUACUGUUAUAAAACUUUGAAAACAAGAGGGCGCGGCCUCCCUGACGAGGAGAAGGGCAUGCCGGGUAACGGCCUGAGGGAGCGUGCCAGGCCUGAGAUGGAGCCGGGCGAGAGCCCAGUUGGCUGGGUACCUGGGCGCCUGCCCCUGCAUAGCCCACUAGCCACGCCAUCCCCAGGCCAGAGGGGAAGGAACCGAAACAAAAGGAGGGGCAGAGAAACGCUUGAAAAGGGAAGUUGCACAUGUUCCCCUCUCUCUGAUCUGAUGGGAAUGCACUAGACUGUGAAACUUCCUCCUCCACCUCUUCUCCCGAGCUCUUCCCUCCCUCUUACCGUCCUUCCUCCUCUCUCCUCCCUCCUUUCUCCUCCUUCCGCCUCCUCCCUUCUCCUGCCACUCACUGUUCUUGAGCCUGGCAGACAGAGGUCCUGAUAGCAGAAUGAGGCUGGAAUAGCACUGUAGGUGCAGCUACCAGCUGGGCCAGCCAAAGGGGAAGGAGAGAAAGUGGGCUCGCAGUUGGCUUUGGACUCAAAUCUACCCUCUGUCUGGCCCAGCCUCCCCUCCAUUCUAUUAGGGAAGUGGAACCACGUCAUGUCACAGGGUGUGCCCAGUCCAUGUGUGUGGACCAGGUGUGUGCGCAGGUACUGGGGAGAACUGCCACUCGGAGGUUAGUUCAGGAAGCACCCUGGGCUUCCUGGUGCUCCCCUUGGGCUGUGCUCUGCUCUGGGGAGGCUGUUUGACUUGUUGAAAUGCUGUCUCCUUUGAGAUGCUGUGCUCUCCCUCCAGGGAGGAGCAGAGGCUGUGCUGCAAGAGGCUGGGGCGUGUCUCUGGAGGAGCUCUUGGGAACAGGAACGUGCUUCUCCCAGCGAGAGCAGCCAUGUCGUCUUGUGAGUGUGGUGCCUGGUAGGAUACUGCAUCUGUUAGUUACUUCUCGGUGGCUGAAGGAGGUCACCAGCUCUGCCUGGGGGAGGUGGAGAAGCUGGGCUUUGGGGCAUCUCCCUCCCUACCUCCAGAGUUAGAUUUCACCUGAGACUGUGGUUUCGCUUUUGAGUCCAUCUUCACUGAGUCAAGCAGAUGAUUUAGGAAUGACCAGGGAGCAGCACUGGUGGUUUGCCUUUGGAUCUGCAUUGGUUUGGACCCAUGAACUCUGUGGUGGGCAUUGUGUUUGUGUAAUAGACCAUUGGUAUGCUCAUUUUUCCUCUUGCAGAAAGCACUAGCUUCCUUGAAAGCAGUUCAGGGCCAUGCCCAUCGUUCUGUGCCACAGCUGAGCCCUUCUACUGGGGGAACAUGGAGACACUCGAGCUCCAGUCUUCAUUCCACUCCUCCUCCUUCCCUUUGCCCUACACUGUCUCCUGCUGUCCCCCCAGCUCAUCCCAGGGACAGGGUAACCUUGGUGCAUCCUCCCAUCCAGCCAGCAGUCCCGACCCAGGGCCCCUGCGCCUGGACUGAGUCUGGGGUUUAUGUCAGUAGUGUUAAGGGAGGCAUGGAAAACUGAACUUUUAGGAGUGCAGCUGCCUAGGAACAUAGACCUUCAUAUCUCUGACCCAGGGGAAACUGGAAAAACCGAUGCUGGGUCCACGUAGACUUGGAAGGCUGUUAACUUCUUGCCUUGUUACCUGAGUAGCCAUUUGAGGGACACUGUGGGUUUGGAGGAUGUGAUUCCCACACUGGGGCUCAGGGCCUGGGAAAUGCAGUGGUCCCUGGGUUCUGAGUCCUCCUUUGAAGGCCACCCUGCCAGAAAGGAAGAGUCUGAUGGAGGUUUCUGGGGACUUUGGGCCAGCCAGUAACUCCAUGCUCCCUCUGCUCCACCCUUGGCCCCUCAUGUAUAUAUCCUUCCUUUUAUCACCGUUCCCUCUGAUUCACAGCCCCCACCCUGACAGCUAAAGACAGAAUGCCCAGGCUGCUGCCUAGAAUGACAGGAAGUUGGACUGCCCUUUCAGUUUAUACGUGCAAUGGCCUGGAACUGUCUCUUGAGGGCAAGACAUUCCCCUUUUACAAAAGAGCCUUCCCCAGGCCCCUCUCUCACCAAAAUGAGCUCUUCCUUGCUGCCAGGAGCCCUGAAAUCAGCAUUCCCAGAGGAAAGAAGAUGGCCAUCUGGGCUUGGCUUCCGGCUCCCCCCAUCUGGCUGGAACACACAUCAGUCACGUAAGUAGCUGUGACUCAGCACCCAGCACUGCCUUGGCAGAACCUUCCCACGUUCUGGAUUUGCACACACUGUGGUAGCGCAGCACAAGCAAGCAGGGUUAGGUAACUGGGGACCAGUGUCUGUUUGUUCAGUGGGUUUGCUUAUGGAUUUCAGAAACAAGGAUUCCCUCAUCUUCCCAUUUUCCUCCCAUGUUAUUUUUUAGGUACCAUGCUAGGCUUUAAAGACAAAUCAUCAUUUAUAGAAUGAAGUAGAAGCUGCCUUUGCAAUCUCCAAACUAUUUUUAACCAACAGCCUAUAGAUUGUAUUUAACCCUCAGAUGUGUUUGGCCUGCACGGGUUUUUGUUUUUGUUUGAGACAGGGUUUCACUCUGUAGCCCAGGCUGGAGUGCAGUGGCACGAUAUCAGCUUGCACAACCUCUGCCUCUGGGGCUCAAGCAGUUCUCAUGCCUCAGCCUCCUGAGUAGCUGGGACUACAGGUGCGUGCCACCACACCUGGCUAGGGUUAUUUUAAUGUGUCUGAUUUUGCAUGCAUUUAGACAAAAUAUGGCCUCUCCAGUUCACUGUAUUUCUGCUGCAUGCUGUUGCUGCUUCUCUGUCUCAGGUUUCCUGCCCAAGCCCUCUGAGCAUUUGAACGUGCUGUGAGCAGCCUACCUCAGCCUCCUGUCUUUACACAUGAAGACACUGAGGCCCAUUCAGGGCAAGUGGCGGGUCCCUGUUCUCAGAGUUGGGGCCAAGCAGGUAUUAAAACCAUUGUGUUCUGAUUCACUGUGUGCCCAGGCAGAUUAAUGCCCUGGUGUGAGGUCGAGAAGCCUCCAGGUAGAAUAUGGGGACAGAAGUGGACCAGGUUGGAGUAUAGCUCCCACACCUUUUCCCUGCGUGGCAGCACUCACAAGACUGACAAGCCCACCCUUCUGGGUGGGUGAUUUUCCUCCCCAGACAGCCGUGCCAACCCUUUCACCUUCAGCCAGUUUGUUUGGAGUCAUUAGGCUGAGGUGGGUAAAACCCAUCACCCUCCUUGGAUGGCAGAGCUCUCAGCAGGCUGGGAUUUUCAUGGGCUGCCUUCUUACAGGUCUAGGUGGCCUUCGGGCAUGGUGCCAGGGAGAGCAAGCCCCUUCCAGCCCUUACCAAACUAACUGGCUUCUUCCUACUAGGGAACAGCCACCAGCUUGUUUCAGCAAAGAGUCAUUGCUCAGCUGACUCUGAGAGGAGAAAACUGGUUCUGUUGGGAGAGCUGAGACCUGAAGGACCCCUUUUAUCCAGCGGAAUUGGAAAGGCAAAGGAUUUCAAUACUAACAUGAUUUUUUCUCCACUUCUUUUAGAGUGUUUAAUUAAAGUGAUGCAUUGUUAAUGGCUUCUUAUCUCUUCUUCCAGAGAGUUAAGAGUUAAAUUUUAGAAUCCAGGAGUGGGGACCCAGACUCUGGCUUCUGUUAACUCCCUCAGUGGCAGUGGCACCCUGCUGUGCACAGCCCCUCUGCUGUACUCCGAAUGGUCCCUUACGGGUAGCAGGAGAGACAUUAAAUAAUCACACUGAUGACCAAGUGAGAUAAGUGGUUUUUGAAGGAAAGAACUUGAAGCCGGCGAGGACCACUUAACCUUCUAGCAAGGGCAGGACUCAGGGAGGCUUUCCUGAGCUGCGGGGAGGAUGACUGAGGUUCCCUGGAGUGGUGGUGGGUGGGGGCGGGGCUGAGGGGUGGUAGCUAAGGGAGGGUGAAGGAGAGUAUUCCAGAAGAGACAACAGCUUAAGCAGGGCCUUGCCAUAGAGGAAGGUGCUUUCUGAUCACCGCGGGACACCUGUGUGAUAGCUCCUAGGGAGGGUGUUUGUGGAUACUGGUAACUAAAAGUUGACAAGGAAGAGUGGUUAAAAGGAAAAGCAGAAAAGUGAGAAUCUCAUCAAAUCCCCUCAUUUGACAGGAUUUGGACUCCCAGUAGUAACUGUCCUUAAACACUCACUCCAGACCUUACAACCCUGGCUGUUACCUGGUUAACAAGCCCCAGGUGUUGGCUACAGGUGUCAUCACUGAGAGCCCUUGUGUGCAGAUCUGCCCCAGCUCUCCCAAGUGUGGCUGAGGCUAGCGAGUCCCACCGUGGGCCGUAGAGCCUAGCGCUGGUGUCAGAAUUGCUUGUUGUAGGUUCAUCUUCAGCCUCUUUCCCACAGCCACAGCCAUGCUGGGGAAAGACGGCAAAGGCGCUAGAGGAGCAGGAGAACAAAGCAAGCUGCCUUAGACCACCCGGCCUUCGCAGAACCCAGAUCAUGCUCCUGUCUCCCCCUAAGUAUAACGUGUUAUGUAGUCAGUAUGAUCCCAUUCAGUGCAGAAGUAUCGCUUAGGAAUUUCCUGCCCCACCCACCCUGUUUUGUUCUUAAUGAAGUUCCAGAACAAAACGAGAUGAUAGUCAAGUUAUGGAGCAGGCUGCAGUGGGUACAAGGGCAGAAACACAGUCUUUGGAGUUAGACCUGGGAUCUGCAUUUAUUGGUUGUGUGACUGCAGACAAGUUAUUUAGCCUCAUUAAGGAUGAAUUUCUUCGCAAAAAUUGGAAUAAUACCUGCCCCAUACGACUGUUGUGAGAAUUAAAUACCACAACUUUUGAUGUUCAAAUUCUAUUUCUUCUCCUUCUAGCAACACAUACUGUUAGUGCCAGGAACCAUAAAAAUUAUAAGCCUGUAUCUAGAGGCCUGAAAGAAACCUAAAAUAUACAGUUUCUACUCUGUCUCUUUUCUCUUGGUUAUGGUAUCAGAGGAAAUACACAUAUUUUCUUAGCUUCAAACAACCAAAAAAGAUGAUGCAGUAAGGAGAUGGGAAAUCUAAUUUGGAAUACAGUGUGCAAAUCUUACUUUCAAGCAGAUUUUGAAAAUAAAACUCAAUUCUUAUGUUAGAGGAUUAUCUGCGUAAUACAAUUAUAGGGUACCAGUUUUUAAAGUCACAUCAGAAGUUAAGUAAGAUUGCAGAUUGACGGGGUCACAUUUGAAUGUUCUGAUACUUACAUAUGGGGUGGGAAGGAGGAACGCAUGCUCUUCUCAAGUAAGACACAUAGAAGAGUUGUCCUGACCCAGGUGAGACUCACCGUUGUGUAGCUGGAGCUUCAUUCCACAGGCAGAUAGGAUGCUUGUGUCCUGAUGAAGUAAGAGAAUAUAUCUGGAAACACUUUGUAUACUGUGAAAUACUAUACAAAUGCAGGGCAGUACAAAUGUAAAUAUUAAUGUAUUUUAAUAAUAAUUUUAGCUAUUUUAUUUCAUCAUAUAUAAUAAUUUGUAGUGACUGGUGUGAAGUUAAAUAGAGUUAACCUAGAAUUAAUGAGUUUUGUAUUGCUCUCAUCUAUUUGAAGCAUCAGCUGUGCCUUUCAUGUUGCUUUGUGCAGCCCUGUGUAACCUCCUCUGUGCCUUUCCCAUGGAGCACUGUGUCAUAUCACAAGUAGAACUGCAAGAAGAUAUUUCUCCUCAGGGCAGAGGCUGGGUCUUCCGAUUGAAUCUCCCUUCUUUCUUCAUUGAGAUCCUCUUCUUCUGGAAGCUGGUUUCACAUGGUGGCUUAGAUUUUUCCAUCUUUGUAUCUAGCACCAUUUGAAAUCAGUGUUUUAGGAGUAAGAAUUGCAGCACAGCCAAGGGUGGACUGCAGAGGAACUGCUGCUCAUGGGACUGGCUCCUCUCCUCUUGCCACUUGAGUCUGUUCGAGAAGUCCAGGGAAGAACUUGAAGAGCAAAAUACACUCUUGAGUUUGUUGGGUUUGGGGAGAGGUGACAGUAGGGAAGGGGGUUGUGUUUAAAAUAAACACAGUGGCUUGAGCAGGGGCAGAGGUUGUGAUGCUAUUUCUGUUGACUCCUAGCAGCCAUCACCAGCAUGAAUGUGUUGGUAGGGCCUUCGAGUGUGGCGAUUGUCAUAUUCUGUUGGAUAACAAUAUAUUGGGUAUCGAUUGUCAUGGGGCAGGGGAGAGGGGAGUACACCUAGAGGACCAUUUUGUCCACAUCGGCACCGUCAGUCUGCUCUUAGAGGAUGCCCUGGAGUAUUCAGCGUCGAUUGCGGGGCACCCGAAAUCAGACUUGCCACCUGGACUGUCGAGGUGCAGACCUUAGGAGUACCACUGGCCCAUCUCUUACACAGGCUGACCGAUUUCUCCUGGUGUUCAGAGUCUGUUUUUGUCUAGCACCAUUUGAAAUCGGUUAUGAUGUAGGGGGAAAAGCAGCAGCCUCGAAGCCUCAUGCCAAGUCUGGGCAGCAGCAGCCUGUGGUUUCCUGGAAGAUGGAUGGGCAGAGAAAGGGGAAGGAAGAUCAUGCUUUUCCCUACUAACUUCUUUAACUGCAUGUAUGAUACAUUAUUGCAGAGGUAAGAGAUAGUUUAAUGGAUUUUUAAAAACAAAUUACUAUAAUUUAUCUGAUGUUCUCAGUUGCAUUUUGCUGAAAUGUAGUGCUAUUCUAAAUUCUGUAAAUUGAUUGCUGUUGAGUUAUCUUUCUGUUGAGAAGAGUCUAUUCAUGCAUCCUGACCUUAAUAAAUACUAUGUUCAGUUUA